GCUGCAACAGAGCUCAGUUGGUAGAGCAUGAGACUCUUAAUCUCAGUCACGGGUUAGAGCCCCAUAUUGGGCU